GGCGAACGGGUGAGUAACACGUGAGUAACCUGCCCUUGACUUUGGGAUAACUUCAGGAAACUGGGGCUAAUACCGGAUAGGAGCUCCUGCUGCAUGGUGGGGGUUGGAAAGUUUCGGCGGUUGGGGAUGGACUCGCGGCUUAUCAGCUCGUUGGUGGGGUAGUGGCUUACCAAGGCUUUGACGGGUAGCCGGCCUGAGAGGGUGACCGGCCACAUUGGGACUGAGAUACGGCCCAG
rnacentral:rRNA from 1 species